AGAGUUUGAUCCUGGCUCAGGAUGAACGCUGGCUACAGGCUUAACACAUGCAAGUCGAGGGGCAGCACGGGGCAGGCUUGCCUGCCCUGGUGGCGACCGGCGCACGGGUGAGUAACGCGUAUCCGACCUGCCGCGCACAGCCGGACAGUCUUGCGAAAGCAGGGUUAAUACGGCAUGGCCUCCCGGACGCGCAUGCGUUUGGGAGGAAAGGGUGAAUCCCGGUGUGCGAUGGGGAUGCGUCCCAUUAGCUGGUUGGCGGGGUAACGGCCCACCAAGGCGACGAUGGGUAGGGGUUCUGAGAGGAAGGUCCCCCACAUUGGAACUGAGACACGGUCCAAACUCCUACGGGAGGCAGCAGUGAGGAAUAUUGGUCAAUGGGCGGAAGCCUGAACCAGCCAAGUAGCGUGCAGGAAGACGGCCCUCAGGGUUGUAAACUGCUUUUGUGCGGGGAUAAAGUUCGCGACGAGUCGCGUUUUGCAGGUACCGCACGAAUAAGGACCGGCUAAUUCCGUGCCAGCAGCCGCGGUAAUACGGAAGGUCCGGGCGUUAUCCGGAAUUAUUGGGUUUAAAGGGAGCGUAGGCGGGAGGGCAAGUCAGCUGUGAAAUGCCGGGGCUCAACCUUGGAGUUGCAGUUGAAACUGUCCAUCUUGAGUGCGUGCAGGGGCGGUGGAAUUCGUGGUGUAGCGGUGAAAUGCAUAGAUAUCACGAAGAACUCCGAUCGCGAAGGCAGCCGCCCGGUGCGUGACUGACGCUGAGGCUCGAAGGUGUGGGUAUCAAACAGGAUUAGAUACCCUGGUAGUCCACACGGUAAACGUUGGAUACUCGCGGCGGGCCCGUUAGGGGUCCGCCGCCAAGCGAAAGUGUUAAGUAUCCCACCUGGGGAGUACGCCGGCAACGGUG
rnacentral:rRNA from 1 species